rnacentral:tRNA from 1 species
GGUAUAGCUCAGUGGUAGAGCACUUGCCUAUCAUAUGCAAGGCUGUGGGUUCAAUCCCCACUACC